UACGUAGGGUGCAAGCGUUGUCCGGAAUUAUUGGGCGUAAAGAGCUCGUAGGCGGUUUGUCGCGUCGGCUGUGAAAACCUGGGGCUUAACUCCGGGCCUGCAGCCGAUACGGGCAGACUAGAGUUCGGCAGGGGAGACUGGAAUUCCUGGUGUAGCGGUGAAAUGCGCAGAUAUCAGGAGGAACACCGGUGGCGAAGGCGGGUCUCUGGGCCGAUACUGACGCUGAGGAGCGAAAGCGUGGGGAGCGAACAGG
rnacentral:rRNA from 1 species